rnacentral:rRNA from 1 species
GCGGGGCGCAGAGUCCUCGUCAGAUGCGUCCUUUCAGCAAUGCCAACGUUCGCCCUCUCAAUGUUGCGUGCGCCAAAAAAGUUCUUCAAGGACAUAGACAAGGCCAGGCGACGCUUCCUGUGGGCGCACGACCAGGAGCUCAGGAGGGGAAAGUGCAAGGUGGCAUGGAAGGUGGUGACCACGUCGGAAGACAGAGGAGGUUUGGGCAUCCAUGACCUCUCGGCCUUCGAAAGGGCCCUGCGACUAUGCUGGCUCUGGCUGUGCUGGGCAGACCCAUCCAGGCCCUGG